GAUGCCAGCGUGCGGCUCUGAAUACCGGACGGUUCCUCCAGGCUCUCGGCCGCCUUCUCCGACGGAAGAUCGCAUCCAAAUCAGGAUAGCUUAUUCCUUCGGCGGCAUAGAAAGAUGGGCGUUAUGAACCGGGAUUUAGAAGGUCAGAUAACGGCCGAUGCUAGCGCGGCGG
rnacentral:sRNA from 1 species